UGUGUGUGUGUGUGUGUGUGUGUGUGUGUGUGUGUGUGUGUACACAUGUGGGGAUCUCUGCAAGGUUAGGUGUUGGAUUUAAACAACCUUCAGUUUUAGUGGUUUAGGCAUUACCAGUCUGGGGCUAGGUUAAGUACAGGCAUAAAUGUUAUUACUGAGGUGAGGGUAGGGUAAGUUUAGGUCUCAAGUCCCCACAAAGAUUGGAUGAGUGUGCGUCAGUGAAAAAUGAGUGCGUGUGAAUGUCUGGGAUAUCUACUCCAGAGGUACAGAGUGCCCUCCGCUAAUAGUUCAUCAUGAAGAUUACUGAGGUGAGGCGGAGAUACUGUACAGCAGAGGUCCUCCCCGGCUCCCAAACCAUUGCCCCUUCUACCAGUGACUUCCAACUGAAGUUCAAUGCACUUUUGUGGCCUUUUGGGGCUUGUGCUUAACGUUUUCUCGCGUGGACAUUGUAAUCUUGUAUUAUAAGAGUAGUAUAACUGUAUAUGCAAAAGCAAAGAUGUAUUUUGCUCAGCGGUUCCCAUUGCAGAUAUUGUACAGACCAGAGUACUAAGUAUUGUGAAGGAUGGUCGUGUGUGUGUGUAUAUAAUACAUGUGUAUGUAUAUCCAUUGUCUUUUGCUUUGGUCCAUGUCGUAUUUUGUAGGUUGCGGUUACAGAUGACCUGUGUGACUGCAUACUGUGUUUGUACAAUUAUACAAUCUUUGGACCUGUUGCGACCUGUUGACAUUUUUAGUUUGCUCUAUUUUAAAGUUUUUAUAUUUUUUAAAUGUAUUUUGUUUUACAAUGUGCAGGCCUUUGUGCUGAAAGAUAGUCUUUUGUUUUCUGGCAUUCAUAAAAUUAGCCCAUUCUUCACAGUUGGGUUUUGUGUAAAUUCCCCGUAGAUCUGAUGUUUACAUAAAUGUUCAGUCAUUCAGCUGUCUAUAUCUAAUUUUACAGUGUAGGCUACGACAUCCUAUCAGGUCUCUAAAAAAAUUAUCAAUAUGGCAUUUCUGUAAGAAAUGAAUGGAGUCAAUAUGUUAUGGUUUUGUUUUGACAUUCAAGUCACCCUGAACCAUACAAACUGAUACUUUAUUCUGGACUGAAGAUUUGCUGGCAGUGCAUAGGCUACAGAGAAUUAUGAUUUGAGUUAAUUUAAUGCUUGUAAAAUAUUGUUCUCUACAUAUUAGCUCUGAAUCACGGCCUCGGUCAAUAGUUGCUCAUUUAGUCAAUCCAAGUUCAAGAGACUUUUCUUAUCCUCUGGCAUACUGUGUAACAAUUGUACUGUGAAUAUACUGGAGUCCGUCUCCCAAACACUAGCCUGGCUGUUUGCGUUACUGUUUUGUUGCCCUGAUUGUUAUACUGUGACCUGAACAGCUAGAAUACGGUGAACAAAUGUGAUGUUUCGUGGUAGUGUGUAGGACUUCUCUAUAAACGAAACAUUGUUAGGAUGAUUUCACACCUGGUCUCUUUCUGCCAAUUCUUGUGAACUUGAUGUUGUUGACUUACAUUUUUGUGCAGUGUCAACAUUCAGUGUCACUCAGGCCCAACACAAGAGCCCUAGCAGGGAACCACAAGGACUCCCAUCUCUAGAUGUGGUCUAUGUUUGAUUUUGCUUACAGUCCUUGAUCCAGUUCCCUUUGUAGGGAACAAUUCCUCCAGCACACCUGAUUAUACUAGUCCGUUAUUCACUUAGCCCUUGAUUAGUGAGUCAAGCCUGUUCAGGGUUACAACACAUUUUUUAAUGUCUGGGAGUCCCUAAUGACAUGGUUCAAGACCUAUCCCAGUGACCAAGAAACACUGACCCAGCCAAUGUAAUAUUGAAAAAUAGCCCCUGCCAAAAAAAAUCUAGUUCUUGGACAACUGCAGUUACAACUUUGCUUUUUUCCCUAUUUCCAAUAAUACUGGUACAUUUUAUUUUGGUUGUGGUAUGUUUGUUUGGAGUGGCCGGUAGCCCAAACUUUACAUUAUCUGACUAGUAACUGAAAGGUUGCUAGACUGAGUAUCUGUUAAAAAAAAGUUUUUAAAAAUAUUUUAACAAAAUCUAUUAGGUUCCAAAAUGCUGUUUUUUUUUUUGCCUUUAUCCUUAGCUUUUCACUAAAACUGUUUGAUGUGACUUGUUGGGAACUGUGCUAAUACCAAGACUAUAUUUGGUAAACUUUGGGGAAAUACCUAAAUCUGGUAACGUUCAUGCAAAGAGGACUCUGACCAACUAGCAAACGUUAUGUCAACUAGCAAAAUCGCAGAAUUCUAUUUAAAGGCAAGAGGUGUGAAAAUUAAAAUAAUGUUUGCUUUUUUUACCAUGGAGUUCACUCCAAAGAGGACCUUAUGUGAAAACAUUCUAGUGACUUUACCAUGCUGCUUUCUAAGAGGUCAGUGUCAGUCCAGUUCAACUCAAGACUGCUCUAUGGUUGUAUUGGAAACAAAACACAUUCAUGACUUAUCUUUUCCUCAGACAGACUUGAUUUGGUACUGGUUGGGUUGCAAUACCUCUGUGACUAAUCUAUUCUGGGUUAGGGAUGCCAUCUUGGUGGUUCCACUUCAUUCAACCAAACAUUAAGUUGGAGAGUUUUUAUUGGACAAAUAACGUCAGUUUGUAAAGUACAAGGCACAGGAGGGACCUACCUCAAUAAUUUUCGCAUUGAAUGCUAGUCUGCCUACUUGAAAUGUUUAGCAGCCAGAUAAUGUUUGGUGGAAUGAAUAUACCUCUAGUCUGCAUAGAAUUGUCCACAUGUUGUACAGCCAUAGUACAGUUUGGGAAAGUAGACAAAUUAUUUAAUUUAUGGUAUGAUACUUGAAAUAUACUGCUCAGCUCUGUUGUAACUCUGUGUUGAUUUCAGCUUCACGUUGAUGUAAUGCUGUCCAAUUAUAUCUGGGAUAAAGAAAAGAUGCUUACUCAUUCAUGUCCAUGUUUUAGCAGGAAACAUAAUUGGUUCUUUGAAACCUUGAUUUAUCAAUACCGUAAGUAAAAAUGUGAUUACUAACAGGUAGAAUCUGUUACAAUGUGUGAACGAAAAACUGGAUUAUCACGUCUAAACAUUUUAGUGAACACCUAUUUUGAAUGUUAUUUUAUUAUUUCUGCUCUUGCAUCAGCCAGUAUAUCAAAUGUAGUUUGAUAGUCCCCUUUUUUCUAUUUGUUUGAUUUAUUCUGGUGAAAUUAAUGUUCAUUGUGCCAGCUAUGUAUCAUUAUAAGACCACAGUUUUACAAAAAUCAAUAAAAAACAGAUUGCAACUCA
ensembl:lncRNA